GCUGCUAUACUGCAGUCGAGCGGACCGAACGGAAGCUUGCUUCUGUUCGGUUAGCGGCGGACGGGUGAGUAACACGUGGGUAACCUGCCCGUAAGACCGGGAUAACUCCGGGAAACCGGGGCUAAUACCGGAUAACACCGAAGACCGCAUGGUCUUCGGUUGAAAGGUGGCUUUUGCUACCACUUACGGAUGGGCCCGCGGCGCAUUAGCUAGUUGGUGAGGUAACGGCUCACCAAGGCGACGAUGCGUAGCCGGCCUGAGAGGGUGACCGGCCACACUGGGACUGAGACACGGCCCAGACUCCUACGGGAGGCAGCAGUAGGGAAUCUUCCGCAAUGGACGAAAGUCUGACGGAGCGACGCCGCGUGAGCGAAGAAGGUCUUCGGAUCGUAAAGCUCUGUUGUUAGGGAAGAAGAAGUACCGUUCGAAUAGGGCGGUACGGUGACGGUACCUAACGAGAAAGCCCCGGCUAACUACGUGCCAGCAGCCGCGGUAAUACGUAGGGGGCGAGCGUUGUCCGGAAUUAUUGGGCGUAAAGCGCGCGCAGGCGGUCCCUUAAGUCUGAUGUGAAAGCCCACGGCUCAACCGUGGAGGGUCAUUGGAAACUGGGGGACUUGAGUGCAGAAGAGGAGAGCGGAAUUCCACGUGUAGCGGUGAAAUGCGUAGAGAUGUGGAGGAACACCAGUGGCGAAGGGCUCUCUGGUCUGUAACUGACGCUGAGCGCGAAGCGUGGGGAGCAAACAGAUUAGAUACCUGGUAGUCCACGCCGUAAACGAUGAGUGCUAAGUGU
rnacentral:rRNA from 1 species